rnacentral:rRNA from 1 species
GACGAACGCUGGCGGCGUGCCUAACACAUGCAAGUCGAACGGGGUGAUAUCCUUCGGGAGAUCACUUAGUGGCGAACGGGUGAGUAACGCGUGAGAAACCUGCCUUUCAGUGGGGGACAACAGUUGGAAACGACUGCUAAUACCGCAUAAUGUAUUUUGGGGGCAUCCCUGAAAUACCAAAGCUUUAUGUGCUGAAAGAUGGUCUCGCGUCUGAUUAGCUAGAUGGCGGGGUAACGGCCCACCAUGGCGACGAUCAGUAGCCGGUCUGAGAGGAUGAACGGCCACAUUGGGACUGAGAUACGGCCCAGACUCCUACGGGAGGCAGCAGUGGGGAAUAUUGGGCAAUGGGGGAAACCCUGACCCAGCAACGCCGCGUGAAGGAAGAAGGCCUUCGGGUUGUAAACUUCUUUUAGCAGGGACGAAUACGUGACGGUACCUGCAGAAAAAGCAACGGCUAACUACGUGCCAGCCGCCGCCGUAACAC